UGCGUAGGCGGAUUGUUAAGUCAGUGGUGAAAGUCUACGGCUCAACCGUAGAAGUGCCAUUGAUACUGGCAGUCUUGAGUACAGUAGAGGUAGGCGGAAUUUAUGGUGUAGCGGUGAAAUGCAUAGAUACCAUAAAGAACACCUAUAGCGAAGGCAGCUUACUAUGCUGUAACUGACGCUGAGGCACGAAAGCGUGGGGAACGAACAGGAUUAGAUACCCUGGUAGUCC
rnacentral:rRNA from 1 species